rnacentral:rRNA from 1 species
GACGAACGCUGGCGGCGUGGAUUAGGCAUGCAAGUCGAACGGUAUCAUCCUUUCGGGGGUGAGAGAGUGGCGAACUGGUGAGUAACACGUAGGUUAUCUACCCUCAAGACGGGGACAACCCAGGGAAACUUGGGCUAAUACCGGAUGUGAGCAACUUUUUAGUUGUUUGAAAGGUGGCGUAAGCUGUCGCUUGGGGAUGAGCCUGCGUCCUAUUAGUUAGUUGGUGAGGUAACGGCUCACCUAGGCAAUGAUAGGUAGGCGGCCUUAACGGGUGGUCGCCCACACUGGGAUUGAGAUACGGCCCAGACUCCUACGGGAGGCAGCAGUCGAGAAUAGUCUACAAUGGUCGGAAGACUGAUAGUGCGACGCCGCGUGAACGAUGAAUCCCUUCGGGUGUAAAGUUCUUUUAUAUGUGAGCAGUGCUUCUUAUAUUAACAGUAUGGGGAGAGAGAUAUUAGCAUAUGAAUAAGCAACGGCUAACUCCGUGCCAGCAGCCGCGGU